rnacentral:rRNA from 1 species
GAUGAACGCUGGCGGCGUGCCUAAUACAUGCAAGUCGAGCGAACAGACGAGGAGCUUGCUCCUCUGACGUUAGCGGCGGACGGGUGAGUAACACGUGGAUAACCUACCUAUAAGACUGGGAUAACUUCGGGAAACCGGAGCUAAUACCGGAUAAUAUAUUGAACCGCAUGGUUCAAUAGUGAAAGACGGUUUUGCUGUCACUUAUAGAUGGAUCCGCGCCGCAUUAGCUAGUUGGUAAGGUAACGGCUUACCAAGGCAACGAUGCGUAGCCGACCUGAGAGGGUGAUCGGCCACACUGGAACUGAGACCCGGUCCAGACUCCUACGGGAGGAAGCAGUAGGGAAUCUUCCGCAAUGGGCGAAAGCUUGACGGAGCAACGCCGCGUGAGUGAUGAAGGUCUUCGGAUCGUAAAACUCUGUUAUUAGGGAAGAACAAAUGUGUAAGUAACUAUGCACGUCUUGACGGUACCUAAUCAGAAAGCCACGGCUAACUACGUG